rnacentral:pre_miRNA from 13 species
ACGUUAUAACGUAUUACGUUAUAUGGUUUAACGUUAUAUCGUAUUACGGUCUAUGGUAUAACGAUAUAACGUGUUACGUUAUAUGG